rnacentral:rRNA from 1 species
GAUGAACGCUGGCGGCGUGCCUAAUACAUGCAAGUCGAGCGAACGGACGAGAAGCUUGCUUCUCUGAUGUUAGCGGCGGACGGGUGAGCAACACGUGGAUAACCUACCUAUAAGACUGGGAUAACUUCGGGAAACCGGAGCUAAUACCGGAUAAUAUUUUGAACCGCAUGGUUCAAAAGUGAAAGACGGUCUUGCUGUCACUUAUAGAUGGAUCCGCGCUGCAUUAGCUAGUUGGUAAGGUAACGGCUUACCAAGGCAACGAUGCAUAGCCGACCUGAGAGGGUGAUCGGCCACACUGGAACUGAGACACGGUCCAGACUCCUACGGGAGGCAGCAGUAGGGAAUCUUCCGCAAUGGGCGAAAGCCUGACGGAGCAACGCCGCGUGAGUGAUGAAGGUCUUCGGAUCGUAAAACUCUGUUAUUAGGGAAGAACAUAUGUGUAAGUAACUGUGCACAUCUUGACGGUACCUAAUCAGAAAGCCACGGCUAACUACGUGCCAGCAGCCGCGGUAAUACGUAGGUGGCAAGCGUUAUCCGGAAUUAUUGGGCGUAAAGCGCGCGUAGGCGGUUUUUUAAGUCUGAUGUGAAAGCCCACGGCUCAACCGUGGAGGGUCAUUGGAAACUGGAAAACUUGAGUGCAGAAGAGGAAAGUGGAAUUCCAUGUGUAGCGGUGAAAUGCGCAGAGAUAUGGAGGAACACCAGUGGCGAAGGCGACUUUCUGGUCUGUAACUGACGCUGAUGUGCGAAAGCGUGGGGAUCAAACAGGAUUAGAUACCCUGGUAGUCCACGCCGUAAACGAUGAGUGCUAAGUGUUAGGGGGUUUCCGCCCCUUAGUGCUGCAGCUAACGCAUUAAGCACUCCGCCUGGGGAGUACGACCGCAAGGUUGAAACUCAAAGGAAUUGACGGGGACCCGCACAAGCGGUGGAGCAUGUGGUUUAAUUCGAAGCAACGCGAAGAACCUUACCAAAUCUUGACAUCCUUUGACAACUCUAGAGAUAGAGCUUUCCCCUUCGGGGGACAAAGUGACAGGUGGUGCAUGGUUGUCGUCAGCUCGUGUCGUGAGAUGUUGGGUUAAGUCCCGCAACGAGCGCAACCCUUAAGCUUAGUUGCCAUCAUUAAGUUGGGCACUCUAAGUUGACUGCCGGUGACAAACCGGAGGAAGGUGGGGAUGACGCCAAAUCAUCAUGCCCCUUAUGAUUUGGGCUACACACGUGCUACAAUGGACAAUACAAAGGGCAGCGAAACCGUGAGGUCAAGCAAAUCCCAUAAAGUUGUUCUCAGUUCGGAUUGUAGUCUGCAACUCGACUACAUGAAGCUGGAAUCGCUAGUAAUCGUAGAUCAGCAUGCUACGGUGAAUACGUUCCCGGGUCU